GGGUUGCAGCGCACAGUUGAGCACAUUGCCUUGACUUCUGUUGCGCAUGCGCGAUGUAAGACAGGAAGAUGGUGGCUACCAGAAGAGGCACGCGUGUGGGGCCGGAGGAAACUGCAGCUGAUUCGGGGGGACAAGAAGAGAUACAAUAAGAAGAAAUAUAGAGAGAUCGUGGCAGAAAAGGCUGCUAUUGCUGAAGGCAAGAAGAACCGGAAGAAGAAGAAGAAAUUCCGAAAAUAACGGCAACAUGUCGGUCGCUCCUGGCUCCUCCUUUAAUUUUGGGAGACUAAUAGGAAGCUGCUUUAUAGUGGGAGGAGCUGGCGAGAUUGUAGGAAUUUGGAUGAUUGUACGUUUAUAAGACUCCAUAGGGAUUGAUUCCUAUACAGAGAGCAACACCUCGCAGAAGGGGCAAAGGAACAUGGAAAGUACCUCAUCUGGAUUUUGGAGGCACAUGUGCUGGCUAUUAGUCACCUUGUCAAUGUCAUUUACAAUUUUACCUAAAUAAAUAUAUAUUUAUAUAGUAUGCACAAAGUAUAUUAACAUUGACUUUCCAAACCGCAGCUAGAUCAAAUCGAAAUAAAUAUCAGGAGAGUUUUCUAUUUC